GCUGGGUUAGCUCAGUUGGUUAGAGCAUGGUGCUAAUAACGCCGAGUUCACAGGUUCAAUCCCUGCUUACUGCA
rnacentral:tRNA from 1 species